CUGGUGUUGGCUUCCCAAGGCCGGUGGCUUGGCCGUGAGGAAGACGUUCAGUUUCGGGAGUCAGAUGUUUAGCUCUUUCCCCGACUGCGGUUGAUCUCCCGGAAGGGGGCGUCAGGGCGCUCGCAGCCUCCCCGGGCCGGAUUCCUUUUCCGGCGCGGGUGCAGGCGAGGCCGCCAGAGGGCAGUGGGUCCUCCGCCUAGGGAAAACAGGUUGAAUGACCGACAGGAAGGACAGGUGCAGUUGUGGUAUCAGUGGCCAAAUAAAAGCCACAAGAUUCAUCUCCUAAAAAAUGUUAGCAUCUACUUGAAAAGUUGAGUGAUUUUAAGGAAUGUAUCCCAAUAGAGAAGGUUGUUAACAUUUUGUUCUUCUAUUCCUAAGAAGCUAAAACUGACUAUGGGCACAGGAAAUACCCAAGGGGAUUUACUGUGCUCUCUCAGCCCUCUCCAGUCUACACUUGUCUUUUGGGAGUGAGCCAGCAUGGAGGAGGAAUAGGCUAAGCUUGGUCAUCCUGGUCUAGCCAUCCUUUAGUCAACUUGAUUCCAGUUGAGACAAGAGCAGCUCAGCAGAGCACAUGCCAACUUGAUGGCCUAAAGAAUUAAAACCACAGACUGAAAAGAAUUGUAUUCGGCUCACAUUUCUGGAGGCUAGAUCGCCCAAGAUGAGGGGGCUGCAUCUGGGGAGGUCCCUGCUGUUGCACUGUGACAUGGGGAACAGCAUCACAUGGUGAGAGGAAGAAAGCAAGAGAGAGCUGAACCUGCCUGUAUUAUCAGGACCACACCCACCAAAACCAUCUCAAUUUUUCAUGACAGCGAGAGUCCUCAUGACCUAAUCCCUGUUGGAGAUUCACUGUUACUUUGAGCAUUGUUUCCAGCACAUGAACCUGCAGGACCCACUCAAACCAUAUCCCUCUCUCUCUUAUCUGGGACUCUGGGUGAGAAUGUUAUGACAAAUACUGACUAAUACACUAUGUACGUUUUGAGAAUUUCAAAUGCAUUCAUUACUCCUUCAAUUUUAACAUGUUCUUAUAUCUUUGGGUAUUAUUAGAUUUAGAUUGAUGAGAAAGGAAGUCAUUUAUAUGUGAUAAGUCUCAGCUCUUAUAUCCUUCCUCUAAACUGGUCUCUCUUUUGGAUUCCAUUCUCCCUGUUAGACUGAACUUCAUGCCCUCUGAUCCUUGAUGUUUCCUAGGUGCACCACUUGUAAUUGAGUUCCUUAGCCUAUUACUAGUUUUCAAAGGAUAACACCAUAGAAUACUCUCAUCUCAUACAUUAUUGACUAUGGACAUUCUUAAUAUGGAUUGAAACUCAGCCUUUAUGAACCACGCCACCCUUUUUAAAUAUGUGCUUAUCCUCUUUGAAUCUCUGUGUACAGAAAUUCCAAACUUAACAGAUCCUACUGAUUAAUUGCCCUUCAUAUCAAGA
ensembl:lncRNA